AUUUCCCGUGCGCCAAAACCAUGGCAUAAGUCCUCCAUCUCCAUCUCUCAGGGAUAUGCAUGCAGUCCUGGGGUGAAAUGCAAGAGGGGCAUUUUGGGCUUCGAGCUGAUCUUCUCAUUCGGCUGUAUGUUGGAGAUAAAAUGCCUGCAAUGCGUUUUUUUUUUAAUAUGACCCAUUAUCUGCAAUCAGGGCAAUGUGGCACUUGGUGACCUCAGUGUGUUUCUGAAAAUGUAUAGUGCAAGCGUGAGAUGAUAAACAGACAUGAACAAUUUAGUAUCCAUCAAAUCAGAUCAUUUUGUUUUGUAUGAUUUAUAUAAAAAUCAAACUGUUUAACUAUCUGUACAAUAUAGUUUUAACCAUUAAAAAAUGUAUAAGCUUAAUGUAAAUUUAUAUAUUCAUAUGAUGUAGGUCUAGAUUUACUACUUCAUUAUUAUUUUACAUAGAUUCAUCAUUCUUAUGCUGGAAGAUAUUGUGCUUGUCAUAUUUGUAAACAAUAAAAUCACCUCCAUACUAGAAGAGUCUCAUUUUAAACAUGUUAAAAGUUGUUGUUGUUGAUAGAAACAUAGACAUUAUCUUCUUGACAGUUAAAAGGUUCCCAAGUUAUCCGUUUAUAGCAAGAAACCUAAUCCCUCGUCUGCCUUCCAUGUAUACUGUAUAUGAAUAAUCAUGAGAAGAAAAUGACUUCGUUUGGAUGAUGUACUGCAGUUGGAUACACAUGAGAGGAAUAUAGACUUGUGUUGACUUGACUCUUUACCCUGGGCCACAUGCUCAUAUUCAUGCAAGGAGCAGCCUGUCAAGGACACGACUAGGAUACAUCACAUACUGUCAUGUGAAACAGGUGCUACAAUAUUUAUGGUCAAAGCCAUAUAUACUGUAUUUAUAAACUUUACAUCAGAGAAAGACAGCUGCAGGCGAGGCCAAGUGUUAAGCCAAAGACUGUUUAUUUGUAUUGGUUUACAAUAUCAUAUUUUCCUUAGUCAAAACUAGCAUACAGCAUAUUGCACUACUUGUACUGACAGACAGAGGCUGGACCAAUCCAAGAAGGCACUGAGCAGAUUCACACAGACCAUGUACUGCUUGUCUUCAAACUACAAGAUUGUCAAAAAUAAACUUCUUCUUUAUCUUCCUCUCUUUAUGAA